ensembl:snoRNA SNORA63 Small nucleolar RNA SNORA63
GUGCAGGAUAAGUUACAAUGCAGCCUGUGCGGUACUGUGUUGUCGUUCCCCCUGCAAACAGUAACCUGUUUCCUCGCUAUCCCUGUUUGUCACUUCCCAUUGACUGUCAGGGACGUAAGGUUUCAGACAC